UAAGCGGUGAGACCUGAAGCUCCAGAGGGGCCAGGCUGUGCAGGCCGAGGAGAUGCUGUCUCGCGGUCUUUGUCCGGUUGAGAACGUGACUUGUUCCUCAGUCUUACAGCGACUGACAAGUGGCGCCCGAACAGGGACCUGAGUACAUGGGCUGUUGAGAGGGACCCCGGAAAUAUUUCGCGUGCAGACAUAUACUGGGGACACUAAGGAUCCUCAUUGGAUACCUGAGCGCCUCGUGAGAUUCUAUGGAUCCGGACCAGAUGGUGAAUUUCCUCCCCUGCAAUAUGGAUCCGGACUGGAUGGUGAACUCUCUCCCCCACCAUGUGAAGAGAAUGCGGCUCGACGACACUCCCAAUCCUCCCAAGAAACCAGCUCUCCCAGAUCGUCAGUGUCGUCUCUCCCACGCCACGUGGAUGGCCAACCCUCCAACAUGG